rnacentral:rRNA from 1 species
UCUGGAAUCUUGCACAAUGGGCGAAAGCCUGAUGCAGCAACGCCGUGUGAGCGAGGAAGGUCUUCGGAUCGUAAAGCUCUGUUGUUGGGGACGAAGGGCGAAGUGUUAAUAGCUCCUAGCCUGACGGUACCCUUCGAGGAAGCCCCGCCUAACUACGUGCCAGCAGCCGCGGUAAUACGCAGGGGGCGAGCGUUGUCCGGAAUUAUUGGGCGUAAAGAGGGUUUAGGCGGCCUGGUAAGUCUGUCGUGAAAUGCUGGGGCUCAACCCUGGCACGUGCGAUGGAUACUGCUAGGCUAGAGGAUGGUAGAGGCGAGUGGAAUUCCCGGUGUAGCGGUGAAAUGCGCAGAUAUCGGGAGGAACACCAGUAGCGAAGGCGGCUCGCUGGGCCAUUCCUGACGCUGAGACGCGAAAGCGUGGGGAGCAAACAGGAUUAGAUACCCGGGUAGUCC